AUUGAACGCUGGCGGCAUGCCUUACACAUGCAAGUCGAACGGCAGCGGGGGAGAAGCUUGCUUUUCCUGCCGGCGAGUGGCGAACGGGUGAGUAAUACAUCGGAACGUGCCCUGUAGUGGGGGAUAACUAGUCGAAAGAUUAGCUAAUACCGCAUACGACCUGAGGGUGAAAGGGGGGGACCGCAAGGCCUCAUGCUAUAGGAGCGGCCGAUGUCUGAUUAGCUAGUUGGUGGGGUAAAGGCCUACCAGGGCGACGAUCAGUAGCUGGUCUGAGAGGACGAUCAGCCACACUGGGACUGAGACACGGCCCAGACUCCUACGGGAGGCAGCAGUGGGGAAUUUUGGACAAUGGGCGAAAGCCUGAUCCAGCAAUGCCGCGUGUGUGAAGAAGGCCUUCGGGUUGUAAAGCACUUUUGUCCGGAAAGAAAUGGCUCUGGUUAAUACCUGGGGUCGAUGACGGUACCGGAAGAAUAAGGACCGGCUAACUACGUGCCAGCCGCCGCGGUAA
rnacentral:rRNA from 1 species